ACGAACGCUGGCGGCGUGCUUAACACAUGCAAGUCGAACGGAAAGGCCCUGCUUUUGUGGGGUGCUCGCGUGGCGAACGGGUGAGUAACACGUGAGUAACCUGCCCUUGACUUUGGGAUAACUUCAGGAAACUGGGGCUAAUACCGGAUAGGAGCUCCUGCUGCAUGGUGGGGGUUGGAAAGUUUCGGCGGUUGGGGAUGGACUCGCGGCUUAUCAGCUUGUUGGUGGGGUAGUGGCUUACCAAGGCUUUGACGGGUAGCCGGCCUGAGAGGGUGACCGGCAACAUUGGGACUGGGUUACGCCCCGGCCUCUAACGGGGGGAAGGGGUGGGAAAUAUUGACCAAUGGGGGGAGGCCGGAUGCAGAAACCCCGGGUGCGGGAUGACGGCCUUCGGGUUGUAAACCGCUUUCGCUUGUAACGAGGCGUAAGUAAGGGUAAUGGGUAAGAAGGCACGGGCUACCUACGU
rnacentral:rRNA from 1 species